AUUGAACGCUGGCGGCAUGCUUUACACAUGCAAGUCGAACGGUAACAGGCCGCAAGGUGCUGACGAGUGGCGAACGGGUGAGUAAUGCAUCGGAACGUGCCCAGUCGUGGGGGAUAACGCAGCGAAAGCUGCGCUAAUACCGCAUACGAUCUAUGGAUGAAAGCGGGGGACCGUACGGCCUCGCGCGAUUGGAGCGGCCGAUGUCAGAUUAGGCAGUUGGUGGGGUAAAGGCUCACCAAGCCAACGAUCUGUAGCUGGUCUGAGAGGACGACCAGCCACACUGGGACUGAGACACGGCCCAGGCUCCUACGGGAGGCAGCAGGAGGGAAUUUUGGACAAUGGGCGCAAGCCUGAUACAGCAAUGCCGCGUGAAGGAAGAAGGCCUUCGGGUUGUAAACUGCUUUUGUACGGAACGAAACGGUCCUGGUUAAUACCUGGGGCUAAUGACGGUACCGUAAGAAUAAGCACCGGCUAACUACGUGCCAGCAGCCGCAGUAACAC
rnacentral:rRNA from 1 species